rnacentral:rRNA from 1 species
AUUGAACGCUGGCGGCAGGCCUAACACAUGCAAGUCGAGCGAGCGGCGGACGGGUGAGUAAUGUCAGGGAAACUGCAUGAUGGAGGGGGAUAACUACUGGAAACGGUAGCUAAUACCGCAUACCAUCAGAUGUGCCCAAGUGGGAGUGGCUAGUGGGUGGGGUAAUGGCUCACCUAGGCGAGGAUCCCUAGCUGGUCUGAGAGGAUGAGCAGCCACACUGGAACUGAGACACGGUCCAGACUCCCAGGGGCGGCAGCAGUGGGGAAUAUUGCACAAUGGGCGCAAGCCUGAUGCAGCCAUGCCGCGUGUGUGAAGAAGGCCUUCGGGUUGUAAAGCACUUUCAGCGGGGAGGCGUUACCCGCAGAAGAAGCACCGGCUAACUCCGUGCCAGCCGCCGCGGUAAUUC